rnacentral:lncRNA from 1 species
CUCCCCCAUCUCUCACUCACAGCUUUUCAAAUGCAAUCAGCACACUGUUUAUCUUGAUUCGCAGCUUGUCUGUUUCUAGUCCAAAUAUGAUUUAAGUGAUAUAAUUCACUCUACAUUUGACUCGUUUCUUUUUAGCAUGAAGGGGAGGUAGGAACAUGUGCCUGCUUUCUCAAUCAUAGUCACAUUACACAGAAGGAUUUCCAGCUGUACAGGCCA